UGCGAAGGGGGCUAGCGUUGCUCGGAAUCACUGGGCGUAAAGCGCACGUAGGCGGCUUCUUAAGUCAGGGGUGAAAUCCUGGAGCUCAACUCCAGAACUGCCCUUGAUACUGAGAGGCUCGAGUCCGGGAGAGGUGAGUGGAACUCCGAGUGUAGAGGUGAAAUUCGUAGAUAUUCGGAGGAACACCAGUGGCGAAGGCGGCUCACUGGCUCGGUACUGACGCUGAGGUGCGAAAGCGUGGGGAGCAAACAGG
rnacentral:rRNA from 1 species